GCCGCAGUAGCUCAGGGGUAGAGCAGCGCAUUCGUAAUGCGCGGGUCGGGGGUUCAAAUCCCUCCUGCGGCACCA
rnacentral:tRNA from 5 species